AUGCUGGGCAAUGAUGUGUGCUGGAUGAACAGCCUUAGAUGCCUCAAGAGAUUGUUCUGGGGUGGGGAAGAAACCCAGCCUGUGUUUUAUUUUCAGUUUCUUUCUGCGCAUCUCCUGGGAAUUGAGGAGGAACAUUCGCAGAGUCUCCUAACAAUCAGUUCCUCUUCUUCCAUGUUUAUGGAGCCCUGCUCUCAUUCUGAUGCGGCCUCCCGCCCUGGUGCUGUGUUACCUCUCAGCCCUGCCGUCUACUCGGGAAUUCCUUUGCAUGGAGUGCCAGGGGCCCCGCUACUCUGCAGGAUGAGGAGGUCCAGGAGGUGAGUGUGGGUCACAGCCAGGAAAGGAAGCCUGUGGGGAGGGCCCGGACAUACACGAAGCUACAAGUCAUAGGGUGGGGCGCCAGAUGGGUCAAGGCCAGAUUUGGAAUCAGUUGAAGUACAGGAUGUGCUAAAAGCCAGGCUCAGUGGUGUAGACUGGAAGCCAGGAAUCACACCAGGCCCCCUAGGAACACAGGUUCAUUUUUACUGGAACCAGGUGGGUGGGGAGGCGGGCAGAAUGGCCAGGCUGAGAGAGACAUGCAAGACCAGCAACCCCAUGGCAGUUUCAGUCAGAAGCCUCCUUCAAGAGCAGGUUCCCCCAGUUUCCUUGCACUCCCAGAGGUGAAGGUGCUAUUGCUCCUGGUGGGAGCCCCUUUUCUCAGUAUCCCGUCCAAACAUCCUGUGCCUUUCGUCCCAUCUCAAUCCCACAGAGCGAGUCCCAGGAGCAGCACUGGCUUUGCAGACCAAUGGACCUCAACUGAAGCCAAAUGUUGGCAGGCAAGUUGGUGAGCUUCCCUUGGCCUCUGCUUCCUCAGGGGCAGUGACACCUCUCUUGAGAGAAGUUGUGAAAAAGAAAUGAGGAGUUCCUUUCGUGGCUCAAUGGUUAACAAACCUGACUAGUAUCCAUGAGGACUCGGGUUCAAUCCCUGACCCUGCUCGGUGGGUUAAGGAUCUGGCAUUGCCAUGAGCUGCGAUGUAGGUUGCUGACUCAGCUCAGAUCCCACAUUGCUGUGGCUGUGGCAUAGGCUGGUGGCUGCAGCUCCAAUUGGACCCCUAGCCUGGGAACCUCCAUAUGCCACGGGAGCAGCCCUAAAAAGACAAAAGACGAAAAAAGAGAGAGAGAGAGGGAGGGAGGGAGGAAGGAAGGCAGGCAGGACGGAGGAAAGUAUUCAUGGCAUGUGCCUGAUGUGUCAGGGGCUCAAUAAGGAGAUCUCCAUCUAACGAAUAUUUAUUAAGCACCGACUGUAAGCCGAGCAUUUUACCAGCUGCUAGGAAAUACUGUG
rnacentral:lncRNA from 1 species